rnacentral:sRNA from 1 species
AUUCUGCCCAUGCGGGGAAGGAUGAGAAGCUUCGACUAAGGUUCGGCUCGAGCGUCAGCGAGAGAACGUUGCCGCAGGCAACGACCCGAAGGGCGAAGCGCGCAGCGCUGAGUAAUCCUUCCCCCACCACCA